AUUGAACGCUGGCAGCAUGCUUAACACAUGCAAGUCGAACGAGUGGCGGACGGGUGAGUAAUGUCUGGGAAAGUGCCUGAUGGAGGGGGAUAACUACUGGAAACGGUAGCUAAUACCGCAUACCAUCAGAUGGGCCGAGAUGGGAUUAGCUAGUUGGUGGGGUAACGGCUCACCAAGGCGACGAUCCCUAGCUGGUCUGAGAGGAUGACCAGCCACACUGGGACUGAGACACGGUCCAGACUCCGACGGGAGGCAGCAGUGGGGAAUUUUGGACAAUGGGGGCAAGCCUGAUGCAGCCAUGCCGCGUGUAUGAUGAAGGCCUUCGGGUUGUAAAGUACUUUCGGCGGGGAGGCGUUACCCGCAGAAGAAGCACCGGCUAACUCCGUGCCAGCAGCCGCGGUAAUUC
rnacentral:rRNA from 1 species